ACGAAUCAUAAAUUAUCCUCUACUACUCCAUAAGCAGCAGGUUCCGGUACAAUCUCACUAGAUUGCCGUCUUCUCGACGACGAUGAAUUCCCGUUGUUGUUAUUGUUCCUUCCGCUACUUCCUUGCGACCCCGAGUUUCUCAAACCAUUACCACCACCACCACCACCACCACCGCUUGUUGUUGCUCCCGCUUGAACAGCUGUUACAUCCGACGCACUCUGCCUCCAGCUCCCAAAUAUAGCAGCGUUCCAAGACCCUCUCGACGAGUUUGUUCUUAACCGGGAAGAGCCUGAACCCGAGCAUGACUUUGCAAUGAUAGCCAUUGCCCAUACUUCUUCUAGAAGGUCUUCGUCCACCAUUAAUGACGGGUCUAAGAUCUUGGUUACUAGUUCUUUCUCGUUUGUGCUGAUGUAUGGCAAAGCUUCUUCCAUGUACUCUUUUGCAAGUGCGUUGUCUGGCGAGCUAAUCCCGAGCUUCCCCGUUACUAGCUCAAGUAACACUUUGCCAAAGCAGUAGACAUCAUACGAACAUAUUGCAUUUGUUACACCUGAAAAGAAUAAACCAAUCAGAUGUCUAUCGGUUAAUCGGAGAUGGUAUAUCCUGAUGAAAUUUUUAUUCUCCUAAGUGUAUACCUGAAGAAGAUGGUUCACUCGAUCUGCAAGAAUAGGAAAAGAAGAGACAGCGAAGCAUUAGUAGGUGCCAAGACAACAUACAGAGUCAUGUUAGGGAAUCAAAGUAAAACAGAAAAGGACCAGAGAGUUUGUUAAUGUAAUAAGCACUUACUGCGGUAAUCGAAGUAAACGAGAAAUUCUGCUUUGAUAAGCAU